UCCUGAUAAUAUAUUAAACUCAAACUCUCUCUCUUCUCAUUAAAUAAAAUCCAAAACUUUUCUCUCUCUCUUCUCGUUAAAUAAAAUCCAAAAACUCGUCCCUAUCCCUCUGCCCUCUCCCCUCCCAUUCGGCCACCCUGACAUCGAAGGGCCAGACCCUAGCGAUGCUAUGGUGGCCCAGCAGGUUCCCACUCCCCCC
rnacentral:lncRNA from 1 species